CAUGAUUUGAUAAAUGGGAUUGUGAAAGUCCUGUUUUGAUAAGGUUUUGGUAAAUAGGUCGAGUGACCGGAGUAUAGAAGAGAACAUAGUAGAUGAUGGUGAUAACACAAUUCGCUUGGAUUAAAGUUUAGAUUGGCAUUGUUUUAUUGUGGUGUGUGUUAGCAAAACGAAGAAGAUUGACAUCUUGCUUUAAUGAAGGAUUUUGAUAAUGAUGUUUCAUGGAGAAAUGUUGAAGAAUUAAAGAAGUACU
rnacentral:lncRNA from 1 species